UACGUAGGGGGCAAGCGUUGUUCGGAAUUACUGGGCGUAAAGAGCUCGUAGGCGGCUUGUCACGUCGGUUGUGAAAGCCCGGGGCUUAACCCCGGGUCUGCAGCCGAUACGGGCAGGCUAGAGUGUGGUAGGGGAGAUCGGAAUUCCUGGUGUAGCGGUGAAAUGCGCAGAUAUCAGGAGGAACACCGGUGGCGAAGGCGGAUCUCUGGGCCAUUACUGACGCUGAGGAGCGAAAGCGUGGGGAGCGAACAGG
rnacentral:rRNA from 1 species